UACGUAGGGGCGAGCGUUACCCGGAUUUACUGGCGUAAAGCGCGUGUAGGCGGCUGGUCAAGCGUGGUGUGAAAUCUCCGGCUCAACCGGAACUGCAUUGCGAACUGACCUAGCUGGAGUGCAGGAGAGGCAGCGAAUUCCGGUGUAGCGGUGAAAUGCGUAGAUAUCGGAAGAACACCAGUGGCGAAGGCGGCUGCCUGGCCUGUAACUGACGCUGAGACGCGAAGCGUGGAGCA
rnacentral:rRNA from 1 species